UACGUAGGGUGCAAGCGUUGUCCGGAAUUAUUGGGCGUAAAGAGCUUGUAGGCGGUUUGUCGCGUCUGCUGUGAAAUUUCGGGGCUCAACCCCGAACUUGCAGUGGGUACGGGCAGACUAGAGUGUGGUAGGGGAGACUGGAAUUCCUGGUGUAGCGGUGAAAUGCGCAGAUAUCAGGAGGAACACCGAUGGCGAAGGCAGGUCUCUGGGCCACUACUGACGUGAGACGCGAAAGCGUGGGGAGCGAACAGG
rnacentral:rRNA from 1 species